UUUCAUUCGAACAUAUUGGAUAAAAAAAGUUUGAAUUCAAUUGAGUUAUUUCGAUUUUAAAUACAUUGUUAGGACCAAUUUCCGAACAUCGUCGAUAAAUAUAUUUUGUAAGCAAUAUGAAACAUUCGAUAAUGAAUGGUUAUUGUUUAUUUCUAUUGGGAUAACGAAUUGAUAAGGAAUCCCCAUAGCUGAGCGUACUUUGUGAAUUACCGUUACCGAUUCUUUCAAAAGUCAAUAAAGUCGAAGGACAAAGCAACAGCAGGAUUCAUCCGAGAUCUACACUGCUAAACUACUGUUGAAAAAUAUAGAACUUACCACUUAAGGUCUGAAGAUGUUAACCAACUCAGUAUUCCUCGCAUGUUUUGCAUUGCUCAUGGCUUUUGUCCAAUCCGAACCAAUAAGUACUCAGGCAGAACUGGAAAAUUCAAGAAUUUUGAGAAUUCCUCAUGGCAUCAUACCAAUAAUCAGCCGCCAUGUUCGUGAAACCGAUGACGGAUGGCAAGUCCAACAAAAUAUCAACAGAGAUCCUUUUGGAAAUACAGCAGGAUCUUUCAGUGCGCAGAAAAGUUUUGGGGACAAUGAGUUCCAUGCUAGUGCAUCGAGAGUCUUCUCAGGACCAAAAAAAAACGAACCCACGUUCAAUAUAGGAGGAACCUUCACGUGGUGAAUCCGAAAGAAUGAUUUUUGAACUUUGAACUUUAUGUAUACAAAAGCAAAGAUGUACUGACGUUUUGAAACCUAUGAAGAACUUAAAUGAUUAUUUUUUGUUUUUGAAGAAAUAUAUUAGGUUUCAAUAAAAUUUUCCCAAAA